UAAAUCUAUGUGUUCUAAUAUAGAACUCCGGACGCGUCCAAACGUUCUGCCACAGAAUACGAAUGUUCUUAUUCGGGGAGCACGUGUUCUAUUGCUGAACGCCUGUGAUCUGAUGUAGAACGCGUGUGUUCUCUCCUGGGAGAAGUCCAUGCACAUUAGCAGAGAUUAUGUGCUGAAUAUUGUUAGACAAAUUUAAAUUCGACCAUAUAUUUGUGUUUUCGGAAUAUUUAUUUUUGAGAAGAAGAGAGGCUGGUAGAUUGGUAAGUCAAACAGAAAAUGUGUCAUAUUUUGAGUUUGAUGAAUGAUAAAUAGUUUAUAAACAUGGCAUAUUUUGUGUUAAUAAUAACUCAUAUGUAGCCUGACUAAAUACAACAAGAAACAUUACUGAAAUACAACUCAUUGCUAAUACAUGGAAAUAACUUACUUGCAUUAUGGGACAUUUACGUGUAUCAGAACACUGGCAUUCUGAUGGCUAAUUUUACCUGGAUAUUUUAUGUGGGCUAUGGAACAUAUACGGUCUAUUUGCUGAACACAUGCGUUCUCUCCUAGAACGCAUGUGUUCUGCUAUGUUCUAUAGUGAUAAGCAGCACACUAAUGUUACAGGCGAGAACACGUGUUCCAUUAAUAGAACAUAGGGGUUCUAUUUUUCUAACUAGCAUUCGAAGCUGCCCAUGCCGUUAUGUGAGAAACUGACGUGACGUAGCAUUUAUUUGGCGCUACAAUUUCCUAUCAUCUGAGGGGUAUCUGUGGUAAGUAUCAAUCUAGGAAUAAUUUUGUUUCAUAUUUAAUCCUUACCUAAAAUUGUGUAAUAUUUCGGCGAUAUAUUCAUAUGCUGAUUGCAUGCGAAGUAAAACCGGCCCCUUACGAAACUCAUAGCAGACGACAUAUUCCCCGCCAUUUUGACCGUCAUUUCUGCCAUUGUUCCACACGCAUUAUUCGCAAAUUGUGAGAUGACAUUUUGAAAGUUUCCGUUUAUUUGAAUGAUGUUCAAAUAAAAUGAAUAUAUAUUUCAGGUUCUAUAUGAAUCGCCUGAAAGUGCGAAGCGGGCUACAUGCAACAAAUCUCUGAACAUCUAAAUUUGGGAUCCGAGGGCAUGAUCAGCAUGCAUCGGCAAUGCAUCGAAAUCAGCAGAGAGUAGGGGUGCAUUGCAGAUAAUCAGUACAAUCCUUGGAAAUUAUUGCACACGGCACAUGUCUACGCAAAGGAGGAAAAGAAUCAAGGUUUCGCAGAACAAUUAAGAAGGCUGUUGCGGAGUCGUAUUUGACAUGAAGUUUCCUGAAGCAUGCGAUGGUCAUGUGGCUGUUACGAACAUCGUCCUUGGGGAUAUUUACCCACAAGAAACAUCUGCGAAGUACUUGCGCUUCGUGAAAGACUUGAAACUUAAGUUAUCUUAAGUAUGGAAGUAUGCUACAGUUUGCUACAUGACAGUUUGUAAUGUUUCAUGAAGAACUCUGACUCACAUAUUUAAGUGACUUGAAUAUCCAUGAUCAUGACAAAUAAAUGUAAUAAAGAAUUCAUGGUUGCAGUUCAGAAUUUCGUCCGUGUGAUUUUAUGCCAGAGAAUAUGUAUGGGUAUAUGGUUCAUAUUCUUACGCCUUGAAAAAACAUCGGGUAAACUGUAUUCGACAACACACAAUGAGUUGUCAUUUCAGUACUGUGGAAGUACGUGUCCGAGAACAUGUAGUGUUCUGAAUCUCGGUCCAGAACACUUUACAGGCGUUCUAAAAGUGUUACAUCGUCAGAACACGUUGAAGCGUUCUAAAUAUGUUUGUAGAACACUCCUGUUCUAGGUCGAGAACAUCAACGUUCAGAAUAUUUUCAGAACACAUGGACGCGUUCUAAAAGUGUUACAUCCAUGUGUUCUGUCUAGUGUUCAGAAGUAGAACACUUGGGUUU